UACAGAGGUCUCGAGCGUUAGGCGGAAUCACUGGGCUUAAAGCGUGUGUAGGUGGAUCGUUAAGUACCUUGUGAAAUCCCACGGCUUAACCGUGGAACUGCUUGGUAUACUGGCGGUCUUGAGCCACUUAGGGGCUACCGGAACAAAUGGUGGAGCGGUGAAAUGCGUAGAUAUCAUUUGGAACGCCAAUGGUGAAGACAGGUAGCUGGGAGUGUGCUGACACUGAGACACGAAAGCCAGGGGAGCGAACGGG
rnacentral:rRNA from 1 species